GUUUAUUAAUUAGUGUGUGUAAGGUGUAUAUAUGGUCAGUAGUGUGAUGGUGUUUAUUAAUUAGUGUGUGUAAGGUGUAUAUAUGGUCAGUAGUGAGAUGGUGUUUAUUAAUUAGUGUGUGAGGUGUAUAUAUGGUCAGUAGUGAGAUGGUGUUUAUUAAUUAGUGUGUGAGGUGUAUAUAUGGUCAGUAGUGAGAUGGUGUUUAUUAAUUAGUGUGUGUAAGGUGUAUAUAUGGUCAGUAGUGAGAUGGUGUUUAUUAAUUAGUGUGUGAGGUGUAUAUAUGGUCAGUAGUGUGAUGGUGUUUAUUAAUUAGUGUGUGUAAGGUGUAUAUAUGGUCAGUAGUGAGAUGGUGUUUAUUAAUUAGUGUGUGAGGUGUGUAUAUAUGGUCAGUAGUGAGAUGGUGUUUAUUAAUUAGUGUGUGUUAGGUGUAUAUAUGGUCAGUAGUGAGAUGGUGUUUAUUAAUUAG